ACCAGCUGGAAAAGAGGUAGAAGUGAGGUAGCACCAGGGGAAAACAUACUACAGUCGUAGCCAAAAGUUUUGAGAAUGACACAUUCAUUUCCACAGUUUGCUGCUUCAGUGUCUUGAUAUUUGUCAGAUGUUAUAAUGGAAUACUGAAGUAUAAUUACAAGCAUUUCAUAAGUGUCAAAGGCUUUUAUUGACAAUUACAUGAAGUUGAUGCAAAGAGUCAAUAUUUGCAGUGUUGACCCUUCUUUUUCAAGACCUCUGCAAUCUUCCCUGGCAUGCUGUCAAUUAACUUCUGGGUCACAUCCUGACUGAUGGCAGCCCAUUCUUGCAUAAUCAAUGCUUGGAGUUUAUCAGAAUUUGUGGGUUUUUGUUUGUCUACCCGCCUCUUGAGGAUUGACCACAAGUUCUUAAUGGGAUUAAGGUCUGGGGAGUUUCCUGGCCAUGGACCCAAAGUAUUGAUGUUUUGUUCGCGAGCCACUUAGUCAUCACUUUUGCCUUAUGGCAAGGUGCUCCAUCAUGCUGGAAAAGGCAUUGUUCGUCACCCAACUGUUCCUGGAUGGGUAGGAGAAGUUGCUCUCAGAGGAUGUGUUGGUACCAUUCUUUAUUCAUGGCUGUGUUCUUAGGCAAAAUUGUGAGUGAGUCCACUCCCAAAUUGCCAUCAUACAAACUGAGGCAGCAGACUUCGAAAAUUUAUAUUUGUGUCAUUCUCAAAACUUUUGCCACGACUGUACACUGAACAAAAAUAUAAACGUAAAGUUUGGUCCCGUUUUGCAUGAGCUGAAAUAAAAGAUCCCAGAAAUGUUCCAUAUGCACAAAAAGCUUGUUUCUCUCAAAUGUUGUGCACCAAUUUGUUACAUCCCUGUUAGUGAGCAUUUCUCCCAAAAUAACCCCUCCACCUGACAGGUGUGGCAGAUCAAGAAGCGGAUUAAACAGCAUGAUCGUUACACAGGGGCACCUUGUGCUGGGGACAAUAAAAUGCACCAUUUUGUCGCACAACACAAUGCCACAGAUGUCUCAAGUUGAGGGAGGGUGCAAUUGGCAUGCAGACUGUGGCUGGUCGUUUUAGAGACAGCUAACCGGACAGCUGAUAAAUGUGUUUGCACAACCAAAGAAAUUCUGCACAAACUGUCAAACUGUCUCAGGGAAGCUCAUCUGCUUCCUCACUAGUCUUCACGUGACUGCAGAUCGUCGUCGUAUCCGACUUCAGCUGGCAAAUGCUCACCUUCAAUGGCCACUGGCAUGCUGGAGAAGUGUGCUCUUCACAGAUGAAUCCCAGUUUCUACUAUACCGGGCAGAUGGCAGACAGUAUGGCGUUCUGUGGAUGUCUUCGUAGAUCCGAGGGCAGCAAGCUUGGAACUAAGUUUGGUGAAGACUCUCUUGUUUCUCACUGUGGAGAGAAGCUGCUCCUGAACACUCCCAUCUGCCCAGAGUGUUAACAACGCAUGGACCUCCUCAGGUGACCAGCUGGCUCGAGAUUCAUCUGUGAAUGCACCAGAUCUGUUAAAAGCACUUAAACUGGCAAACAAUGUUACCUAGCAAGUUUAAACAGUUUUCCAAAAAUGUGUACUAUACUGAGCAAAAAUAAAAACAUUCAACAAUU